UGAUCCACCGAGUGCUGCUUAUGAAUCCCAAGAGACCCAAGUCUCUGCCUGAAGUCUGUUUCCUGGGAACCUGAUCUGCAGCAUUGAAGAAAUGAAGCCUAGUGAAUGGAGAGAGGAUGGAGCCAAACCGGGUUCUUCUCUUCCGGGAAAAUCAGUGAGAAAGAAACGGAGUCUCAUGGAGAUGGAGGAAGUCACCCAUGUUUACAGACCUGCAAUCUGUCCUGGCAAUCUGUCCAUCAGGAUGCAUCUUAAAUGUCACCAAGAAUUCCCCCAAACUUUGCAAGACUCCAUUGUGCUGGGAAGUAUUCUUGACUGACACUCCUCAGAAUCUCUUGAGGAGCUUUCUACCUUACAUGUGUGCAGAGUAGGAUGAUGCAUGAUUUUUUAAUAUUUAUACUUUUCCAUAAUUGCAAGAAUUCCAGCUUUUCCUCCAAUAUUAUAUUUAAACAAAUAGAUGCUAGGUUAAACAGGUGCGUGCACACAUACGCACACACACACAUUCUCCUUAUUUUGCUGUAAUUUUGUGUUACCCAGACACCUAUCAAUCUGUCCUUCCUGUGACCUUGAUAUUGGAACUGCAGGUGCCUUGGAGAGGCAGACAAACACAACACAUAGGUCACCAGGAAAAUGUGCCACUGUGCAAAUUCUUCAGACAUGCCCAACGCUUAGGCAAAAUCUCUACUGGCGUAUGAGGAGAGCAAGUCUCAGAUAAAGUCCUGCGACAUGCUGGAGCCUAAGCCAAAGGAAAAAUGGGUGCUUCUGUAUACCUUUAUCGAAAGUUUAUAUUUAUAUUAUUAAUAUAUUAUACACUCAUAUAGACACUACACAUUAGAAAAAUAUAACAGCAUAUUAAUUAUGUUAUACAUUACAUAACUGAUUAUAAAGGAUAUAUUAUAUAAACACAUUACGUUUUAUAUACUAAUGUUAUUUUAGAGAUAUUAAUAUCAAAAGUUAAUGAAAGCUCUAAACUUAAAAAAAUGACUGUGUAUCAAGCCUGCUGGGGUUGUGCAAUCUGUUUGCGUGUUAUUGUCAACCCCCAUAAACCGCACCGUGGGGGGGCCCAGGUGCAGGCCCAGAACCGGGGGCUGAUUGCAAACAACUGUUCCCAUUGCACAACAGUGCCGGGUUGUAAAACAAACAUCAACAGCCUGUCUUUACUUAAAAUUUGAUAUUUUGUCUAUCAUCGAUUUAAAAAAAAUUAUUGCAUUAAAAUAUGGGUUUGGUGCCCUUUUAAAUUGUGCACCUGAGGCAGAUGCCUCACUGAUGUCUGGUCCUGGCUCUGUGGCCACGCAUGUAGCUACUUAGUCACUGAGUAUUUAUUAGCAAACAAACUCAAAAGUGACGUGUGAGCUGUUCUGUGCCCUUGAUGAAGUUCCAGGCCGCUCUCCACUCGGUGAAAGUUCUCCAGAGGCAAUUUUCCCAGACCCCAGAGUCAGGAUUCUGUGACUCUCAGCCUACAUCACACAAGGAGAAUCCUCCAAGUUCAUGGCUGUUUACACAGGACCAUUUAGGGGAUGGCCUCAAGCACCAGUCUCAGUGCAAGGCUAGAGGCCUCGUUAGAGUUUUACACCCUGUUCCAGCAAGACUGGAGACCCUCUUUUCAAGCUCAAUCUCAUGCAGAAGCUGACAUGUGAAACACACUGGCAGAGCUUCUCUGGAUGAAGCAGACAUGGGGGCCGGGAGCACCAGUCCCCAAGCCCCUCGUGGAAUUAUUACAGUUUCCUCAUGGCGCAAGCCUCAGUUGGAUCGUCUAUGGAACUGGGCUUUGCAAAAUAGCUGUUUCCUCAGGUUCUUCCCAAGCUGCUGUCCACUCUCAUUCCGUGAUGCCUACAGACUAAAAGCUUUGCAGACCUCCCCCAUCCCAAAUCUUCAGCAGAAAGCUUUCUCUUGUUUUCAUUAGCUCGGUGCAAGAAGUCGCAUGUAAGACUCUGGGUCUGAAUGCCUGAGGUACAAUGCACACUUGGAAGGGCUGCCUGUGGAAUGGAAGAAAACUGGAAAAACAAGAACCUGAUCUAGGUGGAUGGCCAAUUGCAGUAGCCCGAACAUGCAGGUGCUCGCCGUCUACCCCAGUCGGGAAGCAGGUGAUCUUCCUUCUGAGAAACUGGCAGAAGAUCACGAGUAGCCUACCGCCGUGUCACGGGGCAAACGUCACUCCCCUCACUUCAUGCCAUCACGUGGGCAUUUGAACAUCUCACAUCGUCACAAGAAGGGUGAGUGCAGUCCGGUAAAAUAUUUGGAGAGAGACAACGUUCACAUAACUUGUAUUGAGGUCUCUAUGUACCGGAAAGGACAUAGGACAUGCAGGGUUCGUUCGGCCCUAUCUGCCAUUUCAGGCAUCCCCUGGGCGUCUGGGAACGUAUCCCCUCAGAGAUCAUGACAACUGGCUGCUCCUCUGUGGGCGUUUUACAAUUGCUUUUUCAUCUGCUCGGAGCCUCAGAUAAAGUAGGCUGUCCUCCGUGAACCAGGGGAAAGGCAUGGCGAGGCAGCGCGGACUGGAAGCAGAAGGCAGGGGUGCUGUGCUCUUCGGCUUCUCGAUGCUUCUGUGCAGGUGACAGCGAUGGCCUAUUCGGCACUGGAUUGUCCUGCUGUCUCCGGGAGCUCUCAGAGCUGACUCUCACUGUUUCCAGGUGCCGCAAAGCCUGAAUAGGUCAUUCUGGAAACAAAGAUGGGCUGAUCAGAGCCCUCCAGAUAAAGAAUUCUACAUAGGUUUGGUUCCUCUUGCCUACAUCUUGGGGGACCAGCUGCCUCAUGGAAAACGUGGCAGGUUUUUGUUUUUGGUGUUUUUUGGAUUUUACCCCGUGUGUUUUGGAGAGACUAUGGAGGUCAAGGGAAGAUGCAAACAAGCUUUGGGGAGGCAAAUCUAGGUGCAUCUUGGUUCUGCUCCUCCCCCCACCCCCAUCUUUGCCAAAAGCUUUGUCAUCCCGUGUGCUGAUGACUCACAGCAUCGUGGGGGAGGCAGGGCAGGGCUCCUGUACUCCUGUUGGAAGGAGAAGAUGCCAUAUGCAUCCAGUCACCUGGAAACCCCUUCUCCAGACCACAAAGGGAGGUCUGUGCCUUGGGAAGAAGAGGUCGACCUGAAAGUGGAUGGGGGAGCUGGCCCCCGGGGGUGGGCAGCAGAGUGGGGCUGGGGGAGCAGGACAGUGGGUAGCUCGACCACUUGCAUCACUCUGGCAACAAGCUCUGUCUACGGAGUUACUCUCUGCUUGGAGAAAGGGUUUAGGGAACGGCCAUGGGCUUGUUGUGUGGAAUGGAAACAUACCCGGAAUGAAAAGAUUUUGAAACUGGAACCGCUUGAGGUCAGAUUUUCAAUGGUCACACAGCAUGAGCCAAAUUGACUCCAUGCAGGGAAGCAACAAGCCACCCCAGUUCCCUAUAUUAUUUUAAUAACAGAAAGAAUGUAUUAGGAAUUCCAGGCAAGACCUCCACCUGGGCACGGUCCCAGAUUCUAACUCAUCUCUUCAUGCCUUUUCAAAUGAGCCUUUUACAAAGAGGCUGUUUUUCUCUCCGACCUCUUCCGGACCAGUGAAGGCAUCUGAGAGUCCCCCCUCCCAGCUUUGGCUGUAGGAAGCAAGAAACCUGAGAAACACCCCUGCCCCCCAGCUCUGAGCAUGGAGACUCUGUGCAAAGUUGCUAAGAAAACUCCAGCGCUCUUUGGGGUGGCCUUUUGUUUGUUAAAUUAAUUAAACAAGGAGGCCAUCACGCUGAGGCGGCUCUAAUGCCGUGGGGGCCUAUGUAAGCAAACCCAAACCUCGGCCUAUAAGUGCCUUGAGGUCACACCACCAGCACACCCAGGACAACCACCCACAAACAGCCAACUAGGCUCUAAGCUGUAGCCGGUCAAUGACUGCUUUACUUUGCUUCUGCCUUUUCUCUAGAAACGUCACAGCCUGAGCUCCUGUUGCUGGAAUGCUCCUCACCACUUCUGGUUUUGUGUGGUCUGACAGAAAUAGAAUUUUGCUCAAAGACACUCUUAAACAUUGUUAAUAUGCCUCCGUUUAUCUUUUAACGCGUUCAAAAGCCAAGGUCUCUCCUAGGAGGUGGCUGGAGGCACGGCGGCCUUCUCCCCGGCCUGGACGUCAGGGAACGGAGCGGGGGCCCAGUCGGGUGGUUGUUUCGGUCAGAGUCCGGGCGACAGCUGAGAGUGGAUGUCACCAUGUUGACAAGGUCGUGGGCUCCGCCAAAGUGGCAGGAGGAGCCCGGUGGUGCCCGCAGCCUGCUCUGAGAGCCGGGAGGGAGGAGGGAGAGCCUGCAUGUCCUGACAAUAAUUAGGGUCUUUCUCAGCACCUAGAACAUUGCCGACAUUUAAAACAGAAUGCUGUUGUCACGCUUGUUAAUUUUACCCUCUUGGGCCCCAAAUGGCUCACAUAACACUUGACUGUUUUUCCACAUCACAGAGACCAGACUGGAUUUUCUCGGAAGGCAGUCAAUUCUAUUCCCAGCCAGAGAGGGACCAAAAAAAGAAAAAAAAAAUCUUCUCGCUAUAAACAUGAUAGGUGCCGUACUCCACUUCUUCCGUCCGUGGGGAGUCUUUGGAGGCAGUUUAGGGUUGAACGCCGGUUCCACCAAUCGCCGCUGGUGAGCUCGGAUUUGUCACUUGAUCGUCCUCAUUUGUACAAAGCAGAUGAUAAUAGCCGUUAAGCAGAUUAAAUGCAGGGUUCUUAGCACGUAGCCUGGCACACAUUAAGUGCUCAAAGGGAGCUGUUGGUGUAAUUAUGAGGCUUUCCAUGGAGUUAGGCAGUAGAAGCCUCUGGAAGUGGCGUCCUCUGAAGUGAUCAAGCAGAAACAUUCUGAGCUGCUCCCCUUAUUGCCACUUCCGGGGAGAUGUCGCCAUUGUUAUGGCAACCGGAUUUCUGGGCCAGGAGAAAUCCCUGUUGGGCUCUCUCUGCCUGAGGUGUUUAUGGCCGAGCCCGUGGCCCUCGCUCUCAUAGGGAGAGCCCAUUCUCUUCAGCACGUCAGGUAUGGAGAAUAAACUCCUAGAAAGGAAGGACCUCAUGUGACUUUUUGCACACCAUUUUACCCCCAGCAGCCCUUGGCACAUUGUGGGCACUCGUGGAUAUUUGUGGAAGGAAGUCAUGAUGGAUGGGGCAGAAGGCAGAGGGCCACGUGGCUGUUCCUGGGUCAGACUCAGCUCACCUUCUGCCGAGCACAGCGCAGGCAAGCAGAGCUCGUGACCAGUAGAUCCUGACGUGGUUCUUAGGGACCCGACUUUGGGCAACCGCAUAGAUGCAAACUCAGGUCUCUUCGUAAUUAUUCAAAGAAGCAGAUGUCUUGGAGCAAUGACUUCUCAGGAUGUAGAGAAGUAAGAAACAGGUCCAGGUGAGAACUGUAUCUUGGUUAUACUGUGUAAGGGUUUUUGC